GGAGGUAGUGACAAUAAAUCACAAUGCGGGACUGUUAGUCUUGCAAUUGGAUUGAGAACAACGUACAACUCUUAUCGAUAAGCCAUUGGAGGGCAAGUCUGGUGCCAGCAGCCGCGGUAAUUCCAGCUCCAAUAGCGUAUAUUAACGUUGUUGCAGUUAAAAAGCUCGUAGUUGAAGUGAGGGAGUGUGUGUUCAUGAGAGCUAGUCUCGAGUGUUCACAACCUCCCCCCUCCAAUCGGUGUAGUGGGGUAUUCAGUUAUUUCACUACUCCUUUGGUCGUUUACUGUGAGAAAAUUAGAGUGUUCAAAGCGGGCGUUUGUUUGAAUAGAUUAGCAUGGAAUAAUGAUUGAAGGCUUUCGUGUUCGAUUUGAUUGGUUUGUUCAUGGAAGCAAGGUUAAAAGGAACAGUUGGGGGUAUUCAUAUUCACUAGUUAGAGGUGAAAUUCUCGGAUUUAUGGAAGAAGAACAAGUGCGAAAGC
rnacentral:rRNA from 1 species